GCUGUACUCCGGAGGCAACACAGAAAUCGCCCCAUUCUUCUCUACACCAUGCCCACGGUAAUUCGGCAGAGAAUGACAUAAUUAAAUAAUAUAAUGUGAGUGACAUGAGUGCGCAGUAAUAAGAAGCUAGAGCAAUCAAUGAACACAAUUGGGCCCAGCCGACACCUAUUGAAGAAAACGACAACUUAACCUAAAUCCGGUGACAAGUUUAAUGUAAUAAAAGGGCUUGCCAACCAAGAAAAGGACGAUUAUAUAAGGUAUGAGGAAUGCACCACCGCCAUUUUCAUACGCAACGAAUGGAAAUCUCCAUACGUUUCCGAAACCGACAGACAGGGCGAUGCAGGACAUCAAAAAUUCUAUACUGUUUGUCCAUGUUACCUGAUUAACACGUCCCUUAUCGACACCAUUGGAACUCUAUAAAAUUAAAGAUUAAAUAUUUGAAGUGUGUCAAUUUAAAAAUUAGCUCAUCAUUUGUUUAUAUAUUAUCUGGAAUAUCUGUAGUCAGUUCUCAACUAAAAUAGCAAAGGAAUAUUGGCAAUUGGGUAAUCUUGUUAUGAGAAUUCCUAGCACUAAACACAUGUUCAAAUUUGUCACUAAGCUAUUUCAAUCAUGGACAUGGCAGUAUCAUUAAUUUUUUCAUAGAACUGUUUACAAGACUAUAAAAACAGAUACAUGUCUAUGGCAUAAAAUGAUAAGAUAUUUAUAGUGUAAAAUUAUGAGAUAAGGCCAGUACGCGCAAAUAUUGAUCUAAUUUCAUCUAUUUUCAAGAUAUAUGGAAAUAGCCAUGGAUACAAGUUUAAUAUGGAACAGAGUAGAGUAGAGCCUCUCUGUUCACGUCGUAUCGAUCAUCGGCGUUCGAUAUUGCUGUUUGUCUUUUAAAGAACAAACAUCAAUUGCAACAGUGUUGGAAUGCCCAAGCAAAAUACCUUUUAAAAUGAAUCUAUUAUCGACGCGUAGAAAAAAUUAAUAUUUUAUAAAUUUUUAGGCAUAAAGACAUAUUAUCUUUGAGAUAUGCAACUAUUUCAUUACUCCUGAUAACAGCUUGAUUUUAUAAGUUUAGUUUUUGAUCAAUUAUUUAAAUACUGUUUAUCCAAUUAUAAUACGCAUCACUGUUUAAAGUCACAUAGAAAUAGAUACUAACAUUCUCUAAUUGUUAUAACAUUUUUUUUUAAUCAAUUACCUUAUGUAACUAUUAUUAACAAUAAAA